AUCAAAAGGAAACGAGAAUUGUGUGCUACUGCUUCUGGAUUUUGGAGCGGACCCCAACAGCAGAGAUAUGGCAUCUGAAGCAACAUCUCAGUCAAAAGGGAAAGGCAAAGGGUAUUUCACUUGGACUCCUGAAAUGGAUCGUGUAAUGGGCACCUGUUUUAUUGACCAAAUGAACCAAGGAAACAAAUUGGAUGGUAAAUGUGCAUUGGUAAUUGAUUUUUUUUGGUAAUCUCCAGUUGAAGUUGUUUUGUAGAAGAAGUUGAGCUGAUUGCUGGAAGCCCAAGUAGAGCAAGUAGAAGUUGUUACUACUCCAUCGUGUAUCCAUGACUUUUUAAAUUCUGAUGAGUUCUUUGUUUUUUAUGUAAUGGAUCAAAACAAGAUUAUAGAAAGAUUCUAGAGAGUAUUUCAGCUAUUUUCUCUGUUUUUGAGAUGAUAAGAAUGGAACAUUGGAUCUUUUGUCUGAUGAACUAGCAUUUUAGAUAUUGAGAUUAACAUAGCUGCCUGUGUUGAUGCCCUGACUUGUCCU